GCCGGGGUGGCCGAGCGGUUCUAGGCGCUACAGUCUGGAACGCUGCGGUCGCAGGUUCGAAUCCUGCCUCCGGCA